rnacentral:pre_miRNA from 1 species
AAAGUACUCCCUUCGUCCCAAAAUUCUUGUCUUGCAUUUGUCUAGAUACGGAUGUAUCAAGUCACAUUUUAGUAUUAGAUACAUCCGUAUCUAGACAAAUCUAAGAAAAGAAAUUUGGGACAGAGGGAGUAGUUG